GACGAACGCUGGCGGCGUGCUUAACACAUGCAAGUCGAACGCUGAAGCUUGGUGCUUGCACUGGGUGGAUGAGUGGCGCACGGGUGAGUAAUACGUGAGUAACCUGCCCUUGACUCUGGGAUAAGCCUGGGAAACUGGGUCUAAUACUGGAUACGACAUGCCACUGCAUGGUGGUGUGUGGAGAGGGUUUUACUGGUUUUGGAUGGGCUCACGGCCUAUCAGCUUGUUGGUGGGGUAAUGGCCUACCAAGGCGACGACGGGUAGCCGGCCUGAGAGGGUGACCGGCCACACUGGGACUGAGACACGGCCCAGACUCCUACGGGAGGCAGCAGUGGGGAAUAUUGCACAAUGGGCGGAAGCCUGAUGCAGCGACGCCGCGUGAGGGAUGACGGCCUUCGGGUUGUAUACCUCUUUCAGCACGGAAGAAGCGAGAGUGACGGUACGUGCAGAAGAAGCGCCGGCUAACUACGUG
rnacentral:rRNA from 1 species